UUGAACGCUGGCGGCAGGCCUAACACAUGCAAGUCGAGCGGUAACACAGAGAGCUUGCUCUCGGGUGACGAGCGGCGGACGGGUGAGUAAUGUCUGGGAAACUGCCUGAUGGAGGGGGAUAACUACUGGAAACGGUAGCUAAUACCGCAUAACGUCGCAAGACCAAAGUGGGGGACCUUCGGGCCUCAUGCCAUCAGAUGUGCCCAGAUGGGAUUAGCUAGUAGGUGGGGUAACGGCUCACCUAGGCGACGAUCCCUAGCUGGUCUGAGAGGAUGACCAGCCACACUGGAACUGAGACACGGUCCAGACUCCUACGGGAGGCAGCAGUGGGGAAUAUUGCACAAUGGGCGCAAGCCUGAUGCAGCCAUGCCGCGUGUGUGAAGAAGGCCUUCGGGUUGUAAAGCACUUUCAGCGGGGAGGAAGGCGGUGAGGUUAAUAACCUCAUCGAUUGACGUUACCCGCAGAAGAAGCACCGGCUAACUCCGUGCCAGCAGCCGCGGUAAUACGGAGGGUGCAAGCGUUAAUCGGAAUUACUGGGCGUAAAGCGCACGCAGGCGGUCUGUCAAGUCGGAUGUGAAAUCCCCGGGCUCAACCUGGGAACUGCAUUCGAAACUGGCAGGCUAGAGUCUUGUAGAGGGGGGUAGAAUUCCAGGUGUAGCGGUGAAAUGCGUAGAGAUCUGGAGGAAUACCGGUGGCGAAGGCGGCCCCCUGGACAAAGACUGACGCUCAGGUGCGAAAGCGUGGGGAGCAAACAGGAUUAGAUACCCUGGUAGUCCACGCCGUAAACGAUGUCGAUUUGGAGGUUGUGCCCUUGAGGCGUGGCUUCCGGAGCUAACGCGUUAAGUCGACCGCCUGGGGAGUACGGCCGCAAGGUUAAAACUCAAAUGAAUUGACGGGGGCCCGCACAAGCGGUGGAGCAUGUGGUUUAAUUCGAUGCAACGCGAAGAACCUUACCUGGUCUUGACAUCCACAGAACUUUCCAGAGAUGGAUUGGUGCCUUCGGGAACUGUGAGACAGGUGCUGCAUGGCUGUCGUCAGCUCGUGUUGUGAAAUGUUGGGUUAAGUCCCGCAACGAGCGCAACCCUUAUCCUUUGUUGCCAGCGGUUCGGCCGGGAACUCAAAGGAGACUGCCAGUGAUAAACUGGAGGAAGGUGGGGAUGACGUCAAGUCAUCAUGGCCCUUACGACCAGGGCUACACACGUGCUACAAUGGCAUAUACAAAGAGAAGCGACCUCGCGAGAGCAAGCGGACCUCAUAAAGUAUGUCGUAGUCCGGAUUGGAGUCUGCAACUCGACUCCAUGAAGUCGGAAUCGCUAGUAAUCGUAGAUCAGAAUGCUACGGUGAAUACGUUCCCGGGCCUUGUACACACCGCCCGUCACACCAUGGGAGUGGGUUGCAAAAGAAGUAGGUAGCUUAACCUUCGGGAGGGCGCUUACCACUUUGUGAUUCAUGACUGGGGUG
rnacentral:rRNA from 1 species